rnacentral:rRNA from 1 species
ACUCAAAGGAAUAGACGGGGGCCCGCACAAGCGGCGGAGCAUGUGGAUUAAUUCGAUGCAACGCGAAGAACCUUACCUGGGUUUGACAUGCACCGGACGCGCCCAGAGAUGGGCGUUCCCUUGUGGCCGGUGUGCAGGUGGUGCAUGGCUGUCGUCAGCUCGUGUCGUGAGAUGUUGGGUUAAGUCCCGCAACGAGCGCAACCCUCGUUCCAUGUUGCCAGCGGGUAAUGCCGGGGACUCAUGGGAGACUGCCGGGGUCAACUCGGAGGAAGGUGGGGAUGACGUCAAGUCAUCAUGCCCCUUAUGUCCAGGGCUUCACACAUGCUACAAUGGCCUAUACAGAGGGCUGCGAGACCGUGAGGUGGAGCGAAUCCCUUAAAGUAGGUCUCAGUUCGGAUCGGGGUCUGCAACUCGACCCCGUGAAGUCGGAGUCGCUAGUAAUCGCAGAUCAGCAACGCUGCGGUGAAUACGUUCCCGGGCCUUGUACACACCGCCCGU